CGAGGAUUGGCGCAGCUUGGUAGCGCACUUGGUUUGGGACCAAGGGGUCGUGAGUCCGAAUCUCACAUCCUCGACCA
rnacentral:tRNA from 1 species